rfam:Bombyx mori DNA, contig: Bm_scaf40_contig23269, strain: p50T/Dazao, build 2, whole genome shotgun sequence.
UUAACUCAAAUUUACAUGGAGUUGGAAUGUUUGCCUACGUUUGUCGCCAGGGACGGUGUUCCAACUACAUACAAAUUCGCGUUA